UGUGGAUUAGAGGUGACAAUCAUGAUCAACAGUUCAAUUGUCAUUGUUUGCCUUGAUCCUGCAGACUGCAGUCCUACUAAGGAAAUGGCCACUGAAGAGCAUUAGCUCUGACUUCAGGCAGUACUCUGAUGAUGUUCUCCACUGAAGAAACUCAUCAUUUGUAGCUGCCACUACAAACUACACCAACAUGCCUCAUUGUUUUCUAUUACAAUUUACAGCCAGUUGGGUCUUGAUAGUUUCUACAUUUGAUUUGUCAGGAUAAAGAAUUUUGUUUCUCUGCAGUACUCGGUAACUUUUCAGUCUAUCUAUAUCCAAGAUUUCCUAACUCAUCGAAGCCAAUGGUCUAAAAAAAAUCAUCAAAGCCUAGGAUAGUUUGAGUUUCCUGUUUCUCAACAAAGUAGUAAUUUAUACUGUAUAUUAUUACGGCGAAUAUCAUAUGCCAUUCAUUCUCUUGGUAGCGCGCCAGUGCUGAUUUAGUGAUCACUUAUGUGGUGCAUUGCAUUAUGCACAAGUACUUGUUUGUGGAAGAAGUACCUUUCCCAAGGACUGACUGUAUAUUGUUUAUUGCAUUAUGCUUAUUGCUAUUUGUGUCUGAACUUCAAAGUCACUCACAAGUACUAUGUUUUUUUUUCUGCUUAAUAUAUUGAUGCGCAGUUCUCCUGCGUGUUCGAGAAAAUAUGUUCUUUUGUGAGAAAUUGAUUUCUCCCCAGCAUCUUUCAUGUGGCUGCAUGCAUCACUGGAUAGAACAUGCAACGAUAUUGUUGGGAUGUACUCCCUCUGUAGGAAAUUACAAAUUGUAUUUUGUUUCUUUGGACAGGGCUUUAACCAAAAUUAAUUAAUUAAUAUGCAUCCUUUUAAUAUGAAUAUAAUAACAUCAACUUUGUGUCACAAAAUCAUUUAUUAGUAAAGUACCUGAUGGCAAUGAGACAAUAUACGCCUUGUAAUUUCAAUGGAGGGAAUAAUAUUCAAGUGCCCCCGGGGGAACCUGUUGAAAAUCGCUUCAACAAGUCCAUUCAAAACUUUUAAAGAAAAAUCUAGAAGUUUGAACUUGAAAGUUUUUCCAAGAGAUAUUUGUGAAAUAGUUUCAAUCUCACCAAAACAGGAAAGUGUAAGCUGUUGUUAUGCUUAGAACAAUUGUUGAAAAGAUGGAACUGACUGCAGUAUGGUCCUGUUCAUAAGAAGUUGUAAGAUAUGAUGGUGGCUACAAUUAUAAUUACCACACACCAGCUUUUCGGGAUGUCUGGUCAAUGAGAAGCAAAGUGGCAGAAGAGGUGCAUAUUUAACUCUACGUAGUUUAAAGCAGCCGUUCCCACAAAUUUUAGGGGACUAAAGUGGGACGGAUUGAUGCAAACUGAUAUAUGUUCCUUUUUUUUUGUAAAAGCAAGCUCAGGUGGUUUGUUUUAUCUUUUAUUUUUUCCUAACCUCAAAGGAGUCAAAGUAUUAAAGCUACCUCUAUUGGUCGGACUAAUUCUUUUGGAAAAAAAGGAUGAUACUGUUUCUCUUUUUGUUGUGGUCCACCACUUCAUCCGUCUUCUCCUAGAAACAUUCAAUUAGUUCAUUUCCACAUAUACAAACAGGGGAAAAGAGAAAUUUGAAAGUAUAUCAUUCUUUUGUGGAGUGAAUGUUCUUCACGGAGGAAUAUAAGAAUAGAUGAUAGACAUCAGAAUCAGCUAACUUGGUUCUCCUGUUUAAACUUUUUGGAGCCCUGAACGAUUAAUCUACUAGUUAUCAUGCAGUUGUUUGCUUGGUAAAUUAAUAUUUUGAUUGACAUGUUCUUUUCAAACUAUCCCUGUCUAACUUUUGUACACCCGCAAUUAAAAUGUUAGUUUGUUCUACAGAAGCAUAGCUAUUCAAUUGCUUUCCAAAUGAGAGUAACAUGACAUGUUAGCCUUUUCCCAAUCCUUUGAUCAUGAUUCAUGAAUCUCAGAAAUUAUCAGGUAAUUGCAUUCCUCCAGAUUAUACAACAAUUAAGUGGAGAGAGUGUGACUGGAUGUUCUUUUGUAGUUAGCCAGCAAUAUGGUCGCACUUAGCUUUCACUGCAUGGAACCAUACAUGUCCCUUUGUCUGCAUGUGUCCCAAAAUUUGUCCCUUGUUUCUGUCAAUUGUCAUGCAUUGGCUGCACUGGUAUCCCUGUUAUGUGACAGUUAUGUGCUGAUCAAGAUGGAAUGCCAAAGAAUAUGGGAAAAUAUUUGGGGUUUUCAACUAUUUCUGAAUACCGAAUCAUCUCUGUCCAACUUAGACUAUAAAACGGUACCUGCUCUUCAUUUCUUUAAGGUAAGCUCGGUCAUGUGGCACUGCCUUCAUUUAAGAUUGAUUUGCAUUUGGCAUGAGGCUAAACUGUAUUGUAUGCAUGUAUCCAGAAUGCCAAAUUGCCAAUCCAAAUUUCCAUAUAACUUUGUCCUCAAGAAAAAAGUAAUUUUCAUAUAUCUUUGGUUUAAACUGUCCUUUUACUUGAAGUACAAGGGAUGUUGUUUUCAUACAAGCGCAAGCUAUUAAGGCUUAUGUUGACACCAUAACAAGAUUAGUGUCAUAAAGCGAGAAGUAAAUUCAAAGAAAGGUGUUGAAUAGUGGGAGUAAUCAUCAUCUUUAGUUACUUGAAGAGACAAACAUGAUUGUUGAAGGAGAGACCUCAUGGUUUAUGAUACAGCACAGUCCUUGUUUUUGGAGGUGAAACAGUAGUGGUACCAGCGUUGUCAUUGACAGGGGUACAAGAUAAUGGAAAUUUAAUAGCUUUACCUUUAUGAAGUUGCUUCUUUGACACUUAGCAGAGCUUUGAAAUGUCCCCUUGAUUCUCUUUAUUUUUCAAGUGAAUUUGACUGAUCAAAGCUUAUAGAAUAUAAUUAUUCAGAAAAAGCUUAUAGAACAUCAAACUUAGAAACCGAAAAACCUUGCAAUAAGAGCAAACCAGGUGAUUGGUUUCGUCUAUCACAUUGAUAAAGGUUUAAUACAUUUUCACACUGAUAAUUAUUAUUUUUAAUUUCUUAACUCUUUCAGUUGAACCUUGUACUGAUAGGCUUCAUUGAUGCUAUUGCUCUGCUUCUUCUUUUUGUUCUUUUGGUGUGAGGAGCGUAUUACUCUAUUUAUGUUUGCUAUUCAUUUGUUAUUAUUAUCAUAUCAGACAGAUAUAUUGUCUUCCUCAUCUAAUGUGUGUGUGGCGAAAGGGGCAUCGAAGUUAAAAGAGGAAAGCAACAGAAGCAGACAGCAGGCAGAGGAAAAGAAAAGGAAAGAAGAGCCGCAGCACCAAAAAAACAAGACAAAAGCAAAUAAGGUCAGGCCCCAACCACCACCAUCUCUCCACGUCUCCCUCCAUCCCUCCCAAAUUCUUUGCCUUGCAACGAAGUUUCUCAAAGCCAGGAGCGUCAUCUCAUCAUCUGAUCUCUCCCCAUAUCCUCUCACAAUUCCCAACACUGAGAAAGUACCAUGGAUCCAAGGCACAUCUGUCCUAUCUCAUCUCAUCACAAUGAUUUAUCCCAGAAACUCACAGAGAUGCUCUGCUAGCAGCACCUGAACACUCAGUAUCAGAGACUGAGUGAGGUAGCUAACAUCUCUCUCCGUUUCUCCUUCUACCAUUGCUGCUUCUGCCAGAGCUCGUGGUGGGAGGCAAUGGCCUCUUCACCACUUGCAAUCUCAGGGGCACAACCUACAUGGGUCCCCUAUGAGGCAACCAAAGAUUGCUCUCAGGGCCUGUGCAGCAUGUACUGCCCGCAGUGGUGCUAUUUCAUCUUCCCUCCACCGCCGCCGUUCGACGUCGGCGGACCCAGCCCCGACGACUCCGGCCCCGUCUUCUCCCCGCUUGUGAUCGCUAUCAUCGGUGUGCUGGCCAUCGCCUUCCUCCUCGUCAGCUAUUACACCUUCAUCUCCAGGUACUGCAGCACCUUCGGUUCCUUCCGGGGCAGAGUCUUUGGCCCCAGCUCAGGUGGCGCUGCCCGUGGCGGCAACGGUGGUACCGGCGGCGGCGGUGGAGGCCAUGGCCAUGGACAGUCCAGGAGUCAGGAGUCCUGGAACGUCUCGCCGUCGACCGGUCUGGAUGAGGCCCUGAUCAGCAAGAUCACCUUGUGCAAGUACAAGCGUGGCGACGCCUCGGUCCACACAACGGACUGCUCGGUCUGUCUCGGCGAGUUCAGGGACGGGGAGAGCCUCCGGCUGCUGCCCAAGUGCAGCCAUGCCUUCCACCAGCAAUGCAUCGACAAGUGGCUCAAGUCGCACUCCAACUGCCCUCUCUGCCGCUCCAACAUCACGUUCAUCACCGCGGGGAUGCGGAUGGCGACGCCGGAGCCAGAUGGCCGUGGUCCAGGCGAGGGUGUUGGGAGGGACAGCCAUGCAGCAGAGGUGGUUGUGGUGAUGGAUGACUUGGAAAUCAUGUGCGAGGAGCAGCAGAGCGUGGCGGGCAGCAGCGAUGGUGAUGAUCAUCAGGAAGCAAAUGGUCGCCCAGCUGAGGGAAUGGACGAGGCCGACAGCAAGGCUGAGAUCAGAGAAGAAUGCUCGCCGCCGCCGACGCUGAGGAGGGUCCCUUCGCCGUCGGACGCGAAUCCUGACAUCCGGAUGUCCAUCGCCGAAGUUCUGCAGGCCAGCAUGGAAGACGAGCUCGUGGCAGCCAGGGAGAGCGGCCUCCUUGCAGGUGGUACCGCCGGCACGUCAAGAGGGUGCCAUGGUGAGAACAGUAAGGAAUGGGGGCGCAGCAACCGGCGUGCAUCGCAGGACGCCAUGGACUCCGUGGCGACGAGGAGGCUGCCGCCUGCCGGGCGGUCGUGCUUCAGCAGCAAGAGUGGAAGGGGAAGGGAUCCAGAUCUUCCGAUGUGAGCUCUCAGUUCAGAAUUUCAGAUUUCACCUAGGAUUCUGGGCUGGGCUUUUGUUUAUAGGCCUUGGAUAGGUUCUUUCCUGUUCUUCUGUUCUACGUAUUGUGGCGUCCUACAUGGCUAACAUUCCAUUCUUUCAGUGGACAUGUUCUUACUGCGAGUUCAGUAACAUGCCUACAGUUUUCUGCCCCAGCAAUUGCUAUUCAGUAAAAUGCUGAGCACAAAGUGUGAAAACUGACUGUGCAGUGGUUUAGGUCUCUCGUCCAUAGGUGGAACCCUUUUCUUUGGUCUAACAAAAAAUUGCAGGAAUCCUCCCUUCAUCGAUGAUGGACCUGUAGCACAACCAGAAAAGCUUGUGUGAGAUGAGAUCUUUGUUGUCA